ACCCGCUGAACUUAAGCAUAUCAAUAAGCGGAGGAAAAGAAACUAACAAGGAUUCCCUUAGUAACGGCGAGUGAAGAGGGAAGAGCUCAAAUUUGAAAUCUGGCGUCCUACGGUCGUCCGAGUUGUAAUCUAGAGAAGUGUUUUCCGCGCUGGACCGUGUACAAGUCCUUUGGAACAAGGCGUCAUAGAGGGUGAGAAUCCCGUCUACGACACGGACGACCAGUGCUUUGUGAUACACUCUCAACGAGUCGAGUUGUUUGGGAAUGCAGCUCAAAAUGGGUGGUAAAUUCCAUCUAAAGCUAAAUAUGGGCGAAAGACCGAUAGCGAACAAGUACCGUGAGGGAAAGAUGAAAAGCACUUUGGAAAGAGAGUUAAACAGUACGUGAAAUUGUUGAAAGGGAAACGCUUGAAGUCAGUCGCGUCUUCAGAAAUUCAGCCUGGCUUCUGCCUGGUGCAUUUUUCUGUUGGACGGGCCAGCAUCAGUUUUGGCCGCCAGAAAAAGGUGGGGGGAAGGUAGCACCUCCGGGUGUGUUAUAGCCCCUCAUCGUAUGUGGCGGCUGGGACUGAGGACUGCAGCACGCCUUCAUGGCCGGGGUUCGCCCACGUAACGUGCUUAGGAUGCUGGCGUAAUGGCUUUAAACGACCCGUCUUGAAACACGG
rnacentral:rRNA from 1 species